AUUGAACGCUGGCGGCAUGCCUUACACAUGCAAGUCGAACGGCAGCACGGGAGCAAUCCUGGUGGCGAGUGGCGAACGGGUGAGUAAAGUAUCGGAACGUGCCCAGUCGUGGGGGAUAACGUAGCGAAAGUUACGCUAAUAACGCAUACGAUCUAUGGAUGAAAGAGGGGGAUCGCAAGACCUCGCGCGAUUGGAGAGGCCGAUAUCAGAUUAGGUAGCUGGUGGGGUAAAGGCUCACCAAGCCGACGAUCUGGAGCUGGUCUGAGAGGACGACCAGCCACCCUGGAACAGAGACGCGGCCCAGACUCCUACGGGAGGCAGCAGUGGGGAAUUGUGGACAAUGGGCGAAAGCCUGAUCUAGCCAUGCCGCGGGCAGGAUGAGGGCUUUCGGGUUGUAAAAUGCUUUUGUACGGAACGUAAAGGUUGGGCCUAAUAAGCUGAGCUCAUGACGGUACCGUAAGAAUAAGCACCGGCUAACUACGUGCCAGCCGCCGCCGUAA
rnacentral:rRNA from 1 species